CUAAGGAUUUGGGCGAUCAAGCGCUCUGGUUACGUACCAGGGAAGAGCUUUCUCCCGUUCCAAAGAACAUAGCCGCCGUCCUCAUGUCCCUUCAUCCUAGGUUAGUCCGCGAGACGAAAUAGCGUCAGCUAUUUCGCCUGUCGGACAAGCUCGGCCAGCGCGGCGAAGCGCGCCAUAAGGCGCAGCUUUGCUGCGACUGACGGCGCGACGGGUGCGGGCCGGUAGCUCAGGUGGUUAGAGCGCACGCCUGAUAAGCGUGAGGUCGUAGGUUCAACUCCUACUCGGCCCACCAUCGCGAGUGAGGGGCUUUAGCUCAGCUGGGAGAGCGGUUGCUUUGCAAGCAUCAGGUCAUCGGUUCGAUCCCGAUAAGCUCCACCACUCGACCAAAACCUAGAGAUGAAGACAACAGUUCCGCUGUCGCAAGGCAGUGGUUUUGGGUCGAAUGCGACCCUCUUUGACAUUGUGAAUGGGUUCUUAAAAUCGAUGCCGUGAUGGUGUCGGUUGGGACAAGCGAAGCGCGGAUGCGCUGGCUCGCAAGGGCCGGGCAGCAUCGAGCGGGCGUCUCCCAUGCCGACUUCAAUCACUAAUAUCUGGCUGAGAUUAUAAUCAUCCACAUCAGCUGAGCCGCUCGGCGGCACGCUUUUACAGCGUGUCGACAGAUGGCCAGUUCAAAACCGCGAUACGCUGCUCUGCCGAGUUGGUGUUUGCGCAAGCAAACGCCCAGCGUUGUCGUUGGUGGUGUGGACUCU
rnacentral:tRNA from 1 species